rnacentral:tRNA from 1 species
CAAAAACAGUUUUGGAAAACAUUAACUUUGGGAGUUAAUAAAUAGAUUUUUUUUUCUAUUUUUGA